AUUGAACGCUGGCGGCAGGCCUAACACAUGCAAGUCGAGCGGAUGAAGGGAGCUUGCUCCUGGAUUCAGCGGCGGACGGGUGAGUAAUGCCUAGGAAUCUGCCUGGUAGUGGGGGAUAACGUCCGGAAACGGGCGCUAAUACCGCAUACGUCCUGAGGGAGAAAGUGGGGGAUCUUCGGACCUCACGCUAUCAGAUGAGCCUAGGUCGGAUUAGCUAGUUGGUGGGGUAAAGGCCUACCAAGGCGACGAUCCGUAACUGGUCUGAGAGGAUGAUCAGUCACACUGGAACUGAGACACGGUCCAGACUCCUACGGGAGGCAGCAGUGGGGAAUAUUGGGCAAUGGGCGAAAGCCUGGUCCAGCCAUGCCGCGUGUGUGAAGAAGGUCUUCGGAUUGUAAAGCACUUUAAGUUGGGAGGAAGGGCAGUAAGUUAAUACCUUGCUGUUUUGACGUUACCAACAGAAUAAGCACCGGCUAACUUCGUG
rnacentral:rRNA from 1 species